CCUACUGGAGACAUCAUUGGGGCAUCUUGCACAAUGGGGGAAACCCUGAUGCAGCGACGCCGCGUGAGUUCCUCCUUCCUUCUUUCCUUCCCUCUCUCUCCUCCUUUCCUCCCAUUCCUUUCCCUUAGUAAGAAGCCCCUGCUACCUACGUGCCAUCAGCCGCUUUAAUACGUAGGUUUCCCGAGUGAUCCUUCUUUCCUUUUUGUAAAGGGAGCGUAGACGGUGCGCCAAGUCUGGAGUGAAAUGCCGCAGCUUAACUGCGGAACGGCUUUGUAAACUGGCGAACGAGAGUGCGGGAGGGGUAAGCGGAAUUCAUAGUGUAGCGGUGAAAUGCGUAGAGAUUAGGAGGAACACCGGUGGCGAAGGCGGCUUACGGGACAGUAAAUGAAGUUGAGGCUCGAAAGAGGGGGGAGCAAACAGGAGGAGAGAAAAAAGGAGUC
rnacentral:rRNA from 1 species